rnacentral:rRNA from 1 species
UACGAAGGGUGCAAGCGUUAAUCGGAAUUACUGGGCGUAAAGCGUGCGUAGGCGGUUUGUUAAGUCUGCUGUGAAAUCCCCGGGCUCAACCUGGGAAUGGCAGUGGAUACUGGCAAGCUAGGGUGUGUCAGAGGAUGGUGGAAUUCCCGGUGUAGCGGUGAAAUGCGUAGAGAUCGGGAGGAACAUCAGUGGCGAAGGCGGCCAUCUGGGACAACACUGACGCUGAGGCACGAAAGCGUGGGGAGCAAACAGG